rnacentral:misc_RNA from 1 species
GAUGAAGAACGUAGCGAAAUGCGAUAAGUAGUGUGAAUUGCAGAAUUCAGUGAAUCAUCGAAUCUUUGAACGCACAUUGCGCCCUUUGGUAUUCCUUAGGGCAUGCCUGUUCGAGCGUCAUUUAAACCUUCAAGCUAAGCUUGGUGUUGGGUGACUGUCCGCUUCACGGCGGACUCGCCUCAAAAUUAUUGGCGGCCGGUACAUUGGCUUCGAGCGCAGCAGAAACGCGAACUCGGGCCCGUCGUAUUGGCUCCCAGAAGCUAUCUUCACAAUUUUGACCUCGGAUCAGGUAGAGAUACCCGCUGAACUUAAGCAUAUCAAUAAGCGGAGGA